AGCAUUGUUCAAAUGUGCCGUUCGUUAAUUCAGCGUGCCCAAAAAAAAAAAAACAGUGCCAGAACGUGCUCGAGCCGCUUCUACUGGGGACACGGAGCAUCCAGAGUGUCACGCAGUACUGAUGGAAACAGUUCAAGCAUAAGCUGCUGCUUGGUUUAUAAGAGACUAGACUAGCGCAUAAAGGCCUUGACAAACAGAAAUAAAAAAUACGCUCUAUAUUUUCAGUGUGGUGACAUAUAUUCACAACAGGAAAUGAGGAAGAAGCUGCCAAGUAGUUGAGUCAGCAGUCCAACCAUAGACUCCUUUAUCUAGUCAUUGUUUGUCAACUGAUUUCCUCUUUUUCCGCUCAUACGAACAUGUUUCACAACUCACGUAAAACGUUCUGGCCUCCACAAAGAAAAAUAUACUUUCUUGUUAAAAAAAAAGUGAAUAAUUGUGGUGGUAAUUUGCAGUAGUGUGAUAUUAAUUGUGGCUUCAAACUCUCUUUUAGAUAAUCAGGGAGCCGAACAGGAAAUGACUCUGAUCCCCACCAUCCUGUUUGCAGAGCGAAAAGGAGGAUGAGAUGAUAAUGACGGCUGGUUCACUGGUUACCUGGCAACGCGACGAAAGGGUCUCCCCCCCACUUGCCAUCAUGCCUCAUGUGACACAGGGAUAAAACCAGUGAUGGCAAAGAGGAAAACUGAGAGAAACUAAGGGAAUGUGAGACAUUGCGACACAUUUGUGAUUUCCCUGGCUCCUCAGUACAAUAUGGCUCAGAGUGUCCAUCUACAAGUUGUAGAAUGAUCAAGUCACGUGACACCAAAGCCUCAAGUUCAGCUACUCACCAGACAGUCGCCAGGAGAAUAAAAGUCACUGACCCUCCAAGAUUCGUGAGGACAUCCAUUGACAUUACAAAUAUCACAGCAUCACAAGCCUCAAUGAAAUUAGCCUGUGUUGGGGACGUGAUACUGUUGUCAUGCAAAUGAGGCACUGUUCACACCGCCACCCACGACUGCAGGGCCGUUGCUGCGUAUGGCUUUUAUGAUAAUGAUGUCUCAGGGCACCGCCAUAUUCUAUUGAACCAAGUAUGAGCCUGAAGCUUUACCCAAGCCCCAACCAUAACCACAAAGUUCGACUUCAACCCAAACUGAACCCUAAUCCCAAACCCAAACGUAGCCCAAUCCCAUACACCUUACCCUCCACUUUAUCCGCAAUUUUAAGACCAACUGUAACAGGAACUCUAACCCCUAACCUUAACCCCAAUCAAUAUCCCAAAACCCCAUAAAGAAAAUAAAAUGCUGACUUUUAUUUUCACGAAGCAAGGCAGUCCUCUCCCACCAAGCAGCCAAAUUUUACGUGUCAAAUAGGAUCCAUGUACGUGGUGUAUGCAGUGGACACACUGCCAAACACAACUACAACAAUGACCACAUUCACAGAAAAAAAAAAAAUCUCGCGUUGUAAUCAUUUCCACUUGUGUGCAGUCAAACAUAGUGUCGACUGCAUGUCAAGGACUUAAUUACAUGCAACCGAAUCAGCAGAGAUCAUAGCUUGCCAUAAUCACCAAUGUUCUAAGCACAUUGACAUCUCAUUAGCGUGUCACCGAGUGUUCUCAUUGAAUUCAUGCACUAAUACUGUGCCUGAUUUUGUUUCGUGCUCCUCACUUACCCCUAAAUAGCCCCCCCUCCCAACCCCUGCAACCUCUGCAACCCUCACCACCGGAUGCUUCGCCACUGUCCGUCUCACCUCAUUACAGUCCAUUAUCAACAGGGAGAGCACAGAUGCAGAAUCUGGAAUGUCAACAAGCUGGAGAUACAUGACAGUGCGUGUGAAUGUGUUUGUGCAUGCAUGUGUUCGUGUGUGUGUGCACGCGUGUGUGUGUGUUUGUGUGCACACUGGCAAACUUAAUGAGCAGCAACACAUCGACAAAUCCCAUGGCCAGUCUGUCUGUGCUGCUUAAUGACAAAAUGUAUUCCCAGCUCGGCCUGGUGGCUAAUCUAAU